ACAAGAAUGGUGCAAGGAUUAAGAGCUACAAACUCCCAAAUCGCCCAGUCUUGGAAAGUGUAUAUUCAAUAGGUACUCCUUCUACUAGAAAGACUUGUGAUAAGGUUAAAGAAUACCUAGAUCAAGCCAUUGAGGUCACAUUUAAAUGCAAGACUACUGUGCUCCUGAACCGGAAGGAGUUUGAAUGGAAUAAAUCAGCAUUUUGUCGACUGUUGAGGCUGUCUCCUGGGGCGAGAGCAGUCGACUUCAUUCAAGUCUUCAACCAACUGACAAAGUUUAAUUCUGACCGAGGCUUCUUAGUUCCUGUAAGCCCCCUGCCCACCAGU